CCCAGCUUCUCCCCGCCUCUGCGGCGUUGGGGCCGCCGGUGGGAGACACAGGUGUGGGUUCUGAGACAAACUGGCCAGGGGGGGUCAAAAGAAGAUGACUAGCCAAGAAGAAGACAAAGAUCCUGAGACUACUCCUUACAGAGGAUUCAAGCUUCCCAAAGGACAAGAUAACUGGAACAUUUAUUCAGAACAGUGUCAGCACCAGCAAGGCCACGGGUCGGUUUCAGGAAGGGCUGAUCUUUAGCUCCUGUCACCUACUGUGGCCAGUUGGAUUUGCUCUCUGUCCUGCUAACAGAGCACAUGGACACCAAGCAAGGGAUCUGCUGCGGCAGGUGGCCAGAGCCCCAGGCCGUCCUGUAGACUGCUGACAUGUGUGGUUUGAACUCCUUUGCCCAAACACAGACUAAAUGAUAAAAUACAUAUCAGUGUGG
ensembl:lncRNA